UUACUUGAAACAAAAAAAAAACAAAGAGACAAAGAAAAAAGACAUUUAUCUUUAUAAAAUAUAUAUUUUUAUGAGUGCAUAGAAUGAGCGGAUGUCACUAAUAGUAGUUAUAUGUUGGUAGCGAGUGAACACGACAAUAUGUAAUUUGAUAGUUUUAGGUUUUGGCCUCAAUGUAAUUGCCAGAAUACUUUGAGUAAUCCACAAAGUUGAGUCUGCUGAUUUGUCCUGUUCAGCCGCCCUGUGAUAUGCAAUCACAAUUACGAAUCUGUGAUUGCUCUAUAGUUUUUAGGAAUCUAGCUCAUAGGUUUAAUCUAAACUGUUUCUAAAUGUGAUUUUUUUGUUUCACUGUUAAUCAAACGUAAGAGUAUAAAAUUUUAAGUUCAAGAUGAGAGCAGUGCUCAGAUAUGAGUGUGAUAUGACUUAUAUAUAGUUGAUUAACAAAGUAGCAUUUGAAUGGCCUUUCGUGCAUACCUGGUUACCACCAAGUCAUUUCAUGCUAUCUCUUGCUUAAGGGCAUGUACUGAUUUUUGAGCUAACAUGAAAACCAGUUGGUGGUAACCGAUUUUUAAGCUUUAACUAGUGAUUAGCAGAGUAGACAUUUCAUCAAUUUAACCGCGUUUACUUCAAUUUCAAUUGUUUACAGUGUAAAAACCUCUUCAAUGCUAUUUUGUUACGCUCGAAUAAAAUAUCUAAAAUUCGUCAAUUAUGACGCAUAUUUUUAUUAAAAGAUAGUACAAAUGAGAAUCACUUAACAAGUCAUGGUAGUAUCACGUGAGUUUUAUAAACAUUUAAUAACUUUAUCAUUUCACUUGAGGUGUGUACUUACCUCAUAAACAAUAACCAUAAUUGCUCGCCAAAUUUACAUACAACUUAUUAAAUGUUUAUCAGAACUUUUAUUCCAUCAAAUUAUUAAUUGGCUUUUGACUUAAUGUUCUUGAGGGAGUUUCUUAACUUAACACGAUACCCAAUAUUGUGGGAAGUGCAAUAACAAUAGUUUACUCCAAAUAUGUAAAAUAUAAUUUAUUAUUGUUAGAAAUUCUAAUUUAUGUUGGUUAGUUGCAAUAGUUUUUUUUUCAUUUAUUUGGUAUACGUUUUUACAAAAUUCAAACAAAUUCUUAGUUUUUAUUUUUAUGGGGAAUUAGAAUUGCUAAUGAUUCAAAUUUUAUUGAAAAUUUUUCGAAAAUCUUGAUCUCAUGUUUACUCGGAAUUGUAUCAAUUGUUCAAAAAUCUUGAUCUCAUGUUUACUCGGAAUUGUAUCAAUUGUUCAAAAUUUUGAAAUGUUUGUCACCUCAUCUCCAUCCCUUAUCUGUGAUACUUACUCUCCUUUAAUAUCUUUUACAACCCUCUCUCGUAUUAAUGCAAUCGUAAUCACUUGCAAUUUAUAAUGAUUCAUAAUAUUGAUUAAAAGGAGUAAAAAAAACGUUACUACGUUUCCAUAUUUUCUAGUUCGAACCCAAAAGGCUACUGAUUUUUAAAAAGAUUCAUACUUUUUAUAGUUGAGAGUAUUCUCGAAAAUGCCGUUGGAUUUUCAAAAAUACUUGCUACUAUCCACAGGAGGUCAAGUGAUUGACAUUCUCAGAAAUGCUGCAAAUAACUAAUCUUUAAAAUUUCUAUUUUGUAAAUUAUCAUAAACACAUGAAUUGAUCAUGUAUCUGAAUCUAAAAUGCUUUAUUAGUUGUCUGUGAUAUGAUUCUAAUCAAUAUUUCCUAUUCCUACUUCCCCCUCAUCCUUUCCUUUCUGAGGCUUCGGCCUCACCCAAAUGUAUAAGAAAGAAAUUCGAAACUUUUGGCUCGUAGCUAAGGUUCAAACCUAAAUAAUUUGUAGGUACUGUGGGCAAGUCGCACACUUUCGACUGGUCAAAACUACAAGAUAUUCCAAAAACUUCAAGAAAAGGAUGUUGACUGAAAGUAAAAAUCAAGGGUUAGCUGUGAAAUAUACAAAAAAUGAAUCGACUAACUGUUCUCAACAUUGGUUAAUUGAUCUGAAAAUUCCAGUCUUGGGUCUCGUAAAGCUUUAAUAAAUGACUUAGAACUCAUGAUCCGAUGAGUUAUAACUCGUUAACUCAGAGAGCGGCAACAACUCAACACAGUGUUACGCAGGUAUGCGUCAUUUAAGUUUCUGAAUUUUUUAUGCACAUAUAGGGAAUAUCAGAGAAAAUGAGUGCGCAGCUAAGCAUUACUUCAAGAUUCAAAAGAAGUCCCACCUUCCAUUAAGAGGACUUCAAAAACCGACUAAACCGCUAAAACUAUGUAUAAGGUAUAGUAGUGGAUUGAAAUGAGUUUGUGGAAAACUGACCACUAAAAGUGAAGGAAUUAAACAAGAGUUCUUCGAACUACUCGAGUUAUGAACAACAAUAUUUACUUCGGCAUUGUGCUAGGAUCGCAAAAAGGUGUAUGUUUCAGGAAACUUCUGAUACGCAAUAUUUAUUUACUUCUACCUUUUCAACAGUUCCUGAUAACAUCACUUUAGCGCAUCGAGGGUCCUGAGGAUCAUACGAUUUUUCCUGGCAGUAGUUUGACUGAGCCAACGAAGCCAAUAUAGUUACUUUGUUGUUCGCCUGCAAUAAAAAUAGCUCUGAUAUUUACGUAGCAUAGCCAAGUCAAUUUAUUUCAAGGGACAAUUCGGCUUUUUUGUGGAAAGCAAUUUUAUGUUAAUUAGAAUAACUUAAAUAUUAAUAUAAUUCAAAUGUGAAGGAAGAGUCAAGUACAGCUCUCAGUUUUCUCUUAUUAACUAGAAAUGCUUAAGAUAAAAGUGCUUUAGCUUUGUUUAUUAACUUUUUACAAGAACUGCCUGCUUAAAUUAAUUAAUUAAAUUCGACGUUCGUAUCAAUCAAGUUUAAUAUGUAUUUUAUUAAAAUAUUGGGUUUGCCAACAGUCUUUACUCUGUUAAAAGUGAUUUCAACAUUUUACUCUCUAUUUUCACUACUUUAAUUUCAAAUGAAUGGAUUACUCACUAGAAUAUCAAUUGCGGUAAUAUCCAUGUCGGUCAUAUAUAAAUAAGGGAUUCCAGAGGAGUUGGAGGCUGGUCCAUCACUGAUUGAUUUCAAUGAAACAAAGGGAUCUCCCUUCAUAUCUUCUCGUACAGAAAGAGUCCCGACUGCAACCCAGUCUGUAAAUAUUCAAAAUAACCACAUUUAACGUCUGCAAACAUUCUUUAGAAUCUCUUAUUUUAAUUUAAGAAAACUUUUGGGGUUUUUUUUGGGUUGUAUAAUACAUAUGUCUAAUAAUUGCUCGUCACAUGUGAAAGUAUUUUUUAUUAAUUUUUAUUUGGGCUUUGGCUCUGGGUGAGAAUUUAUCACGUAAUUAUUUCUACUUAAUACAUUUUUACCACAUUUAAAAUCCUUUGUUUCGUCCGAUAAACCAUUUUGUCAAGGGAAAAUGUCUUUCUUGAGAAGCAAUUUUUAUUCACGAUGCCAAUAAAUUUUAUUUUAAGGUAACGUUUUUUACGUAAGUUUUUGUUAUGUUUAUAACAUUUUGGAAUGUAAGUAUACAUAUUAAAUAUUA